rnacentral:rRNA from 1 species
GCCAGCAGCCUUAUCACUCUGCAACUCACAACUCACAACUGGCAACCAGCUGAAGCUCAGCAGGCGAGAACCUGGCCAGUACCUGGAUGGGAGACCUCCUGGGAAACACUAAAGUUGCUGCUGGAA